GUGACCUUUGAUGUAAACUAAAAUGUGCAGGUGUCAAAGUAUAUCAGUAUCGUAUACUAGAGAUGAGCACAACUGAGGUUUUUUGGCACUUUCUCCUUCCAAUUUAUUAAAGGUUGUGUCAGAAUAAAUUUAUGUAAGCAAGGAUCAAGUUUUAUUAGUGGAACUUCAUUUGCUUUUAAUGAAUAGGGGUAUUUUAGGAAAACAGUUGAUUAAAUGAACUAACAUUUGAGAGAUGCACUAUUUCUUCUCACUCCUAUCACCACUCCUUUUAACCCUGCAAGUAAGCAUGCAUAUGCUACCAGAAGGCAAAAUAAGUUGCAUUAAGGCCAUAGUCUCUAUUCAGCAAAGUAGCUGACACUGUUAUCACAUCCACUUCUUUUCAACACCGCACACGGUGUUAAGGCUCUGCCAGUUUAAGAGAACUUUAAGUCCUUAAAGUUACGCAAAUAAACUCCCCAGCCUCACCCUAAACAGAGACUGAUUCAGUGGACUAAGGCUAUUGCCAUUUAUGAUGUCAUAAGAGCUGGCUAGCAAACAAGAACGCUCCAUACUACAUGAGGACCGAACAAAGAUGGCCUCUGGUCCCAAAGUCUAACAAACUCUUGGAAUAUCCUGGGGAUCAUCCAUUAGGAAUGUAACUCAUCCUCCCCAGUAAAAAGAGAUAUAAACUGUCAGGAGCUUUCACAAAGGGCAACGAUGUUGUCAAGCUCUUCUCCAACAAAAGCUCUUUGUCCUCUCUUAAGUAGGCUUCAUGUUAACAGUGUUCACUACCAGGAGCAGCAAUGUGUAUCUCUCUAAAAGAAGGCAGCUUCCCCCUUCCUCCUCCACCCCUCCUCUGGGCUCCUCUAGAAGAGACAGAUGCUUUCUGUGUCCUGGAACGCAUAAAGGCGUCUCACAGACCCCCAAAAAGCAUGUCCUUGGAGGUACCAGCAGUUAUCACGAGAACCGCCCUCAUUGGAGGCACAGAGCUGUUACCCAGCAAGUUGGCUUUAAUUUUCCAGACAGCACCAUAGAUGAGCAAAGCAAUUUGACAAGAAUAAAUCCAGCUUUUGCAUUUAA